GCAAUGAUGGUUCAGUGGUAGAAUUCUUGCUUUUCAUGCAGGAGACUUGAGUUCAAUUCCCAGCCAAUGCA
rnacentral:tRNA from 1 species